rnacentral:misc_RNA from 1 species
AAGUCGUAACAAGGUUUCCGUAGGUGAACCUGCGGAAGGAUCAUUAACACGUAUCCACGUAUCAACCAAUGAGAACCAUUUUCCCGUCUCCCUGUGCAAAGAAUGAAUUGGAACCAGUUUGAGGGAGUGAUGGGACUGAAAAGUCGGCCUUCCUGGUACACUUAUGCAGAUAGAAAUAUUUGCAUAGACAAUUGGAUUUUUGCAGAGGCUAUUUCUUAUCGCUUUGAUCUCCAUCAUGAUCGUGGCGGUAGGGAAACUUUCACUUUAUUUACCUUUUUUGCUAGUUGACUUUUUAUAUGUGUUAUUUUGCGAAAGCAAGGUGGCGCACGUUUAUUAAUUGAACGUUAAAAAAUACAACUCUUAGCAAUGGAUAUCUUGGUUCUC